UUCCAACCCCUGUGACAUACCACUUGUUGCCUCGGCGGAUCAGCCCGCUCCCGGUAAAACGGGACGGCCCGCCAGAGGACCCCUAAAACUCUGUUUCUAUAUGUAACUUCUGAGUAAAACCAUAAAUAAAUCAAAACUUUCAACAACGGAUCUCUUGGUUCUGGCAUCGAUGAAGAACGCAGCAAAAUGCGAUAAGUAAUGUGAAUUGCAGAAUUCAGUGAAUCAUCGAAUCUUUGAACGCACAUUGCGCCCGCCAGUAUUCUGGCGGGCAUGCCUGUUCGAGCGUCAUUUCAACCCUCAAGCACAGCUUGGUGUUGGGACUCGCGUUAAUUCGCGUUCCUCAAAUUGAUUGGCGGUCACGUCGAGCUUCCAUAGCGUAGUAGUAAAACCCUCGUUACUGGUAAUCGUCGCGGCCACGCCGUUAAACCCCAACUUCUGAAUGUUGACCUCGGAUCAGGUAGGAAUACCCGCUGAACUUAAGCAUAUCAAUAAGCGGAGGA
rnacentral:rRNA from 1 species